UGUAGAGGCGGCAGGGUAGUCUAGUGGUUAGAGUGUAGAGGUGGCAGGGUAGUCUAGUGGUUAGAGUGUAGAGGCGGCAGGGUAGCCUAGUGGUUAGAGUGUAGAGGAGGCAGGGUAGUCUAGUGGUUAGAGUGUAGAGGCGGCAGGGUAGCCUAGUGGUUAGAGUGUAGAGGUGGCAGGGUAGUCUAGUGGUUAGAGUGUAGAGGUGGCAGGGUAGCCUAGUGGUUAGAGUGUAGAGGCGGCAGGGUAGUCUAGUGGUUAGAGUGUAGAGGUGGCAGGGUAGCCUAGUGGUUAGAGUGUAGAGGUGGCAGGGUAGUCUAGUGGUUAGAGUGUAGAGGUGGCAGGGUAGUCUAGUGGUUAGAGUGUAGAGGCGGCAGGGUAGUCUAGUGGUUAGAGUGUAGAGGUGGCAGGGUAGCCUAGUGGUUAGAGUGUAGAGGUGGCAGGGUAGUCUAGUGGUUAGAGUGUAGAGGUGGCAGGGUAGUCUAGUGGUUAGAGUGUAGAGGCGGCAGGGUAGCCUAGUGGUUAGAGUGUAGAGGCGGCAGGGUAGUCUAGUGGUUAGAGUGUAGAGGCGGCAGGGUAGUCUAGUGGUUAGAGUGUAGAGGUGGCAGGGUAGUCUAGUGGUUAGAGUGUAGAGGCGGCAGGGUAGCCUAGUGGUUAGAGUGUAGAGGUGGCAGGGUAGUCUAGUGGUUAGAGUGUAGAGGUGGCAGGGUAGCCUAGUGGUUAGAGUGUAGAGGUGGCAGGGUAGUCUAGUGGUUAGAGUGUAGAGGUGGCAGGGUAGCCUAGUGGUUAGAGUGUAGAGGUGGCAGGGUAGUCUAGUGGUUAGAGUGUAGAGGUGGCAGGGUAGUCUAGUGGUUAGAGUGUAGAGGCGGCAGGGUAGUCUAGUGGUUAGAGUGUAGAGGCGGCAGGGUAGCCUAGUGGUUAGAGUGUAGAGGCGGCAGGGUAGUCUAGUGGUUAGAGUGUAGAGGCGGCAGGGUAGUCUAGUGGUUAGAGUGUAGAGGCGGCAGGGUAGCCUAGUGGUUAGAGUGUAGAGGCGGCAGGGUAGUCUAGUGGUUAGAGUGUAGAGGCGGCAGGGUAGCCUAGUGGUUAGAGUGUAGAGGCGGCAGGGUAGUCUAGUGGUUAGAGUGUAGAGGCGGCAGGGUAGUCUAGUGGUUAGAGUGUAGAGGCGGCAGGGUAGCCUAGUGGUUAGAGUGUAGAGGCGGCAGGGUAGCCUAGUGGUUAGAGUGUAGAGGCGGCAGGGUAGCCUAGUGGUUAGAGUGUAGAGGCGGCAGGGUAGUCUAGUGGUUAGAGUGUAGAGGCGGCAGGGUAGCCUAGUGGUUAGAGUGUAGAGGCGGCAGGGUAGUCUAGUGGUUAGAGUGUUGGACUAGUAACCGAAAGGUUGCAAGUUCAAAUCCCCGAGCUGACAAGGUACAAAUCUGUCGUUCUGCCCCUGAACAGGCAGUUAACCCACUGUUCCUAGGCUGUUAUUGAAAAUAAGAAUUUGUUCUUAACUGACUUGCCUAGUAAAAUAAAGGUAAAAUAAAAAAU